AAUGAAACGACUAAAGGAGGUCCAAAA
rnacentral:sRNA from 1 species